UCUGGUUAUCUGCUCCAAUCAUGC
rnacentral:siRNA from 1 species